GCCUGGAUAGCUCUGUUGGUUAGCGCAUGGUGCUGAUAACGCCACGGUUGCAGGUUCAAUCCCCGCAUGGGACA
rnacentral:tRNA from 1 species